rnacentral:rRNA from 1 species
UAGCCGUAAACGAUACUCGCUAGGUGUCGGCCACGGUGCGACCGUUGUCGGUGCCGUAGGGAAGCCGUGAAGCGAGCCACCUGGGAAGUACGGCCGCAAGGCUGAAACUUAAAGGAAUUGGCGGGGGAGCACCACAACGGGUGGAGCUUGCGGUUUAAUUGGAUUCAACGCCGGGAAGCUCACCGGAUAAGACAGCGGAAUGAUUGCCGGGCUGAAGACCCUGCAUGACCAGCUGAGAGGUGGUGCAUGGCGUAGUCGUGU